UCUGUCUGUCUGUCUGGCGAGCGCACGCGCCGUAUAGCAAAAAUCUCUCCAAAAAAAAGUCUACACUCUCCAGCCCACUAAAGUAAUUUCUAGGGAUAAAUCAGAAGGAAACAAAAAAAAAAGAGAGAGAGACUUAAGCAAGAUUUGUGGACAUAGACUUAUAGUGUAGCAUUAUCUUAUAAUAGUAGAAAUCGGUCAACGUUCUAGAUGUUCUAUAAUCAUGAAUAUAGCCAAAAUAUCCCAUUGUCAAAGGAUGCUUAUGAUAAGUUUAUGUGAUGAAAAAGAUACUUACGAUAUGCUUAAAGAGUUGUAAAAAGCAUGUCUCAACAAUGUCUGGGUUCAAAGCAUGACUUGAAUUUUCUUAGUUACAUACAGGUGUGUUUGGAAAAUCUUUCUAUGGAAGAUACUUAUGAUCUUUAUAUUUUGUAGGACAUUUUUCUGUUUUACAAUCACUAUUAUUACUAUAAGGGGACUUGAACAAGUCGGUGGAAAAAAUGAAAUUAAAGUACAAGUUUAUCUUGAAGCAAAAAUGCACAGGUUUUUCAGUGUCCAUUUUCCGUGAACUUUUUGAAGACACCCCGUGUAGCGUUAAAAGCAAUAGUCAUUGUCUUUCUGUCUGUUUCUUUCUUUCCUUCUCCCCUUUCUUUAGCAGAAGUAGCCAGGCCGGCUGAGUCACCUCCCUGCUCCACCCCAGUCAUGAGUAAGAAUUACUAAUUGGACUUUCUCCUCGCUUGCUGGCAUCUAAGAUUUUUGAACUUCUACCCGCCUGGCCGCGGCCACAUUCCCUGCUGUGUCCCUUCCCCACGUCCUCCCCUACCCGCACCCGCUCAGUCCUGCCCGCCGCCCCUCCUGCUGGACCCCUCUCCAGGUGUGCUCUCACACAGCCGUGAACCAGAGGAACAGGUAAACACGCCCUGACCAGUGCUACCCUCCAACAUCUGCUCGACUGCUGUCCGGACUCCAGUAGGCAGAAGCCCACGCAGCCCGGCACCCGCUCCAGGGUGUUUCUGUCCACCCUGGGUCUUCCUUCCCACCUGGCAGUUACCACUGGCUGCCCACUCCACCUCACCCUCGGAGUCCUGCCCCGCUGCCUGACACAGGCCAGGAAAUGGGACCAGGAGCAGCUGCAACCCCAAGACCACUCCCCCCACCACGCUCUGCACCCUAGAAGCCCCACUGCCAGUGCAACCACUGACCUUCGACAGGAGGACCCCCACCAGAGGUAAGAACCCGCAAGACAGAAGAACAGGCCAAAGAAGGCCCAAGGUGAGUAAGGGGCUCCCUUCCUAGCUCCCAGGGCAGGAGACAGUGGCAGCAGGGGGCAGGGGGGACAUCCACCCCCUCCCCAAGAUGGCUCUUUAUACAGUGACGAGUGAAGUUUGUCACCUUCACCUCAGUGACCAGAUUGGAUCCUGUGUCUUGGGUUGAAUAGCAUCCCCCAAAAAAGUAUAUUCACCUGAAACCACAGAAUGUGAGGUUCUUGGAAACUGGGUCCUUGCUGAAGGAAAGAUCUAGCAAUUUAGAGAAAGUGCAAAAAGGGGAGAGGACACAGAGGGGGAGGCCAUGUGUAGAUGGGACGGAGCAGAUUGUGGGGACGCUGCCAUAAGCCAAGAAAUCCCAGGAAGCUCCAUCCCCAAAACCUUCAUGGGAGCGUGGCCCUCUGACACCUGGCUCAGACUUCGGGUGUCCAGAACCGUAAGCGAGUGCGUUCCUGUUGCUCUAACCCACCUCCUUCGUGACGUUGUGCAAUGGCAACUCAGCACGCCCAGCACCCCAGCCCCUCUCUGUAGCAGGAAGCCCCCACCCUGCCCUGCAUCCCCUCCCUCUUCCUCACUCCCAGCCAGUCCCUGUCAAGUCCUGAGAUCUGCCUUGUGGAGCCUUCUGCCCUCAGCCACGCCCUCUGAUUCUCACCUCCACCUCUGGGGCCGACUGCCAUCACCUCCUGCCCAGGCAGCAACUCGUUCAAGCACUGCCAGGUUGACCUCCGAAAGCAGAGGCUCUCCUGGUCACCACCUUCCUCCCCGGCUCACAGCCCCUCCAGGGUUCCCUGUCACCUGGUGAGGAAAGCUCUCUCUGCUGCCUUUCAAGGCCUCAGCCACCUGGGCCAACCAGCUUCCCAGCCUGGCCUCUCAGAGUCCCACCGCGGAGCCUCUGCCCGCACCAUCUGCGUGGCUGCCUGUGCAAACACCGCCCACCCUCGAGACCUUCCCAGGACUCCUUAUCCUCACAGCCUCCUCUGCUCCCUGUGACCUGGAAGCUUCCAGAACACUGGGUCUGUCGGGCUUUCCCCACCCAUUCUUAAUGUCCCAACAUUUGAGAGGCCAGGGUGGACACAGCUCUGCCUUGACUCCCCCUGGAAGCUCGGGCCUGACCUGACUCAUUCAGCAGACAGUUCCUGAACCCGGGCAGGCCUGGCACUGGAGGCGGAGGCCGGGACAGGCAUGGUCCUUGUUGUCAUGGCACUGACUCUCCAGUGGGCACGUGGGCGGCACCAGAAAUACGUGUUGAAUUGGAGUCAGUUCAGCUGAAUCUCAGAGAUGACGGGAUCGUGCUCUGGCCUCCCACCCAGCAGGCAGGGGAGGCUUCCGGAUCCUCGCACGGUUCUGUCCUCGUUUCAACUUAUUUCUCUUUUUACUGACGACCCUGCGUUCUGCUUUUAAAUCUGUCUGUGACAGAGGGACUGAGGGAAUGGGCUGCCAGCUCCAGGCACCUGGUGCACUUCGCCCAUGUGUGCUGUCGUGGGUCUCCGGCACUUUCAUGAGCCACAGCGCCACCCCCACCAGCCACACCCAGGGAGGAUGGGAAUCCUUUCCGCCACCUCUGCCCCUGUGGUACUGGCCACGCCAACAACUCCAGAGCGGCGGACUCUGCCACCUACUGCCGGGGCCCACUCGUCAACUGCCCACCAGCCUGAGCCCAUGGUCAGCCGCACACAGGGUAGAGGGCACCAGCCGUGGGAGUGCCCGGGGACACCUGCAGUCAGGCUGGGGAGCAUCUCAACUUCCCACCAGUGAGCAUGCCCUGGUUGCCAUGGUUACGGCAGCUCUGGGCCAGGGCCUCCAAGGGCUGGUCCCAGGGACCCCCAGU